rnacentral:sRNA from 1 species
AGGGCGCCUGUGCUUGAGGUUGGGGGUUGCGUCGCUCUCUGGUAAAGGCGUGCAGGUGUUGGCCGCGGCCUCUGAGCUGGGAUGAGCCGUGCUCCCGGUGGAAGCAAGGGAGCCCAGCCGGAGCCAUGGCCGUUACGUUUUGCAAGCCAUGAAGCAUAUGGAGCCUCAAGUAAAACAAGUUUUUCAAAGCCUACCAAAAUCUGUAAGACUUUGUUAAUUCUUUGCUGCUUCUAUUUGAAACCUAGAGCCACACUUAGGGAAGGGUAAAUUUCCAAAUAUCCAUGAAGUUCUAAGUGAUUGCUUUGGACCCAUUCUCCUGCUUCCUGCAAGGAGAGUAUAGAAGUUCUGAACUUUGUGAUGGUGCUACCCUGAAACAUCAGAUGUUAUAUGUGACAGAGUUGGAUAGGGUUUUGACAAUUCUAGUACCCCACUAGACCCAAGUUUCACUUUUUCACAUACCAUCACCUUCAGCAUCAUCUGUACAUAUUCUUGUUUUCCUUCAUCUGCUCUGCAUCGCACACGCAGAGGUAUAUGAUUCUAAAGUGAUCCGAUCUUACCAUGUGGCCCUGGCACUCCCAAACAUCAUACAUAGGUAGCACUCUAGUUAAUUAGGCUAUAGGGUUUGGCUUGAUGUUAUGGUCAUACUCUCUGUGGUCACAGUUAAGAAUAGAUUUGGCUGUGAUCACCUGUUGAAUAUGUUGUGAUUAAGGGUAACAGAAUAGAGUGAUUGUAGGCUUUACCAAUAUGAUUUCUGACAUGGCAAGGUCAGAGGACCUAAUAGUGGUAUUUUCUGUAUAUAUAUCUUAAAGUCUUGUUUCAAAUACACUUGAACCUCUUGUCUCAAAAGACUUCUGUUCUUGAGCCACUUCUUGCAGAUUUUUAUCUAGAAUAUGGCUAAUUUGGAAUGAUCUUUCCCGGAAGACCUGGCUUUCAGACACUGUUAUUUUGUCUUAUAUUUCUAAGAUAGUUCAUAUUGACUGGAAAAAAAUGAAUCUGUUUAAUGAUCAUUAAAAUACUACUUGUUGCUACUUAUUUAUAAACUUUAUUCAGCUUUAGCUAAAAUACCUCGGGAAUUGCACUUAAAGUCCUCUGAAAUGUCUUAGUUUUUCUUAGUUCUGUGAAUAUUUCCAGACUUCUUUUUUAAAGCAACUUUAUUAACCUUUCUUUACAAAUGCAUUUCUUCUUUCAGGCCUUCAGUGGUGGCUAUUAUAGAGGUGGGUUUGAACCCAAAAUGACAAAACGGGAAGCAGCAUUAAUACUAGGUGUAAGGUAAAAUAAUCUCUAAUAUUUUUAGCAUUUUUCUACCACUGUAGAGCCAUGAGGAAAUAUAAGAAAGACCUUCUCUCCUUUAAUAGGAGAGGGUCAUGGGGGAUUUUGUCCUAGGAAGAUUGAUAUUACCAAUUCUAAUCAAUGAAACUGUACUGUUCCUUCAUGUUAUUUUUAAGAUGUAAACAAUCCUUCAAAUGAGAAGGCACACUAGCACUUAAGCACUUUUUCUUUUUUCCUAGAGUGUUUACUAAAACACAGGCACUUUUUCAUUUAUUUAAAGAUAGACUCCUCAGCAGAUUAUCACAGUGUUCAGUGUUGUUCUCUGUAACUGACAUUUUUUUUGUGGUG